UCAUAGCCCUGAUAGAAGUGGAAAUCCCACGCUUUUGGGCGUGGAUUGAAACGGAUAGCAGACACGAGC
rnacentral:sRNA from 1 species